UUGGAAUAGCAUCCUGGACAAUGAAGAAGAAAGACAUGUGGAGCCUGGGACAUUGAGGAACAUCACACAGCCACAGCACAGUGUUUACAUCCUCGUAUUUCCACUAACAUGUAGCUGCCGAACUCAAUCCUGGCCUAAAAUCAUAGCAUCCUGCCCGCAUAACUACUUCCAGAUGGAAACUCACUGUGUAAGGUGUAUGCUAUCCUAAGAUGGAGUUUUGCUCUGUCGCCCCGGCUGGAGUGCAGUGAUGCAAUCUCAGCUCACUGCAACCUCUGCCUCCCAGGUUCAAAGCGAUUCUUUUUUAAAUGACUGUCAUUUUAACUAAGAUUUUAAAAAUGUAUACUAUGUAGCAAUGUUUAAUUUCUUAUCACAGGACCUAUCUUCCUUUACCUUCUGAUUUGAUUACAUUUAUUUUCCUACUCCAACUUUCAGUGCAUCAGGGUUUAGUUUUCCUGAAUUAACUACUAUGAAAUUGAUGGCUCUCUCUCACUGGUCUGCAUACAGCUACCUAAGUCCAGGUAGAAUAAGACUGAUCACUCCUUACUAAGCUCCUUUGCUCCUUAGCGGACCCCUAUUACCCUUCUGUAGAACAGAGAAUCCCACGUGCAGUUUCCUUUUUUAUUUACGUAGCUCGUGUGCCGUUUUAAAAUUUUUGUCCUCCUAUCUGAUUUGCCACUGCAAAUUGCACACUACUAAAUGUUUCCUAAGGAAAAGGAGGUUAUGCAACAGAAAAUUGGAUCCCUACAAGUUAUUAAAUCCUUAGUGGUCACUUUGCUUUCAUCAUUUCACCUUUAAAUAAAGGCUGUAACAUUUACAAUCCACUAUGUGACUUGCACGCGUAAGAACACUGCCUGGCUAUUUACAGUACAUUGCCUCGCGAGAUGGGGGGUGAUUCCCUCUCGCAUUAAAAUGCUCAAAAGCAAUCAGCUGUGCUGCCUAUCAUACAAUCCAAGUAAGAUCAUAAAGGAAAAUAAGAAUUAUGUUCAACUUGUAUCAAAUUGUGUCCUACAUAGAAGGAUGACUGUGUUCACAUAAAUAAAAAUAUUUGGGUAGAUGAAUU